CGGAGGGUGCAAGCGUUAAUCGGAAUUACUGGGCGUAAAGCGUGCGUAGGUGGUUUGUUAAGUUAGAUGUGAAAGCCCUGGGCUCAACCUAGGAACUGCAUUUAAAACUGGCAAACUAGAGUAUAGGAGAGGAAAGUGGAAUUUCAGGUGUAGCGGUGAAAUGCGUAGAUAUCUGAAGGAACAUCAAUGGCGAAGGCAGCUUUCUGGACUAAUACUGACACUGAGGUACGAAAGCGUGGGUAGCAAACAGGAUUAGAUACCCUGGUAGUCCACGCCGUAAACGAUGACAACUAGCCGUUGGGAGGAUUUACCUCUUAGUGGCGAAGCUAACGCGUUAAGUUGUCCGCCUGGGGAGUACGGCCGCAAGGUUAAAACUCAAAGGAAUUGACGGGGACCCGCACAAGCGGUGGAGCAUGUGGUUUAAUUCGAUGCAACGCGAAGAACCUUACCUGGUCUUGACAUACACGGAACUUUCCAGAGAUGGAUUGGUGCCUUCGGGAACCGUGAUACAGGUGCUGCAUGGCUGUCGUCAGCUCGUGUCGUGAGAUGUUGGGUUAAGUCCCGUAACGAGCGCAACCCUUAUCCUUAUUUGCCAGCACAUCAUGGUGGGAACUAUAAGGAGACUGCCGGUGAUAAACCGGAGGAAGGCGGGGACGACGUCAAGUCAUCAUGGCCCUUACGACCAGGGCUACACACGUGCUACAAUGGGAAGGACAAAGGGUCGCAACCUCGCGAGAGCAAGCUAAUCCCAUAAACCUUUUCGUAGUCCGGAUCGGAGUCUGCAACUCGACUCCGUGAAGUCGGAAUCGCUAGUAAUCGUAGAUCAGAACGCUACGGUGAAUACGUUCCCGGGUCUUGUACACACCGCCCGUCAUACCAUGGGAGUGGGUUGCACCAGAAGUAGCUAGUCUAACUGUUUACAGGGGACGG
rnacentral:rRNA from 1 species